rnacentral:misc_RNA from 1 species
UAACAUAAAAUAUUUAUUAUUGCCGACACGCUUGCUUUAAUUUAUUAAUUAGCAAAUUUUAAUAGGCGAAGAGGGCGCGCGGAAGAGCGAGCACUUGGAAUAGCGCAACAAUUUCUUCGCACAAAGACAAACAAACCUCGUGCGAGCAAACAAAACGCCGGCAAAGCAAUCAAACACGAAUCAACAAACCCCAACAACAAAUGAAUUUGUGCAGCAAGUGCAAAAGCAAAGGGCGUCGGAGGGAGUGAGAGGCAAACACCUAAGCGCCAGAGGUCAUUUCAAUUGGCGUUUGAUUUACUCGCUCGCGAAAUUCCACAAAAAUUCAAUAAGAAUCAUAUUUUCGCGCGAUCAAGUAGUGUCUUAGUGCUGGCACUAAAGUGGAAAGUGUGCGUCGGUGUUGGUGUAAAGUGCAAGAAGUGUUAAAGUUGUCACAUAGAAAAACAAAAGAAAUAAAAUAAAAUUAAGAAAAAAUAAUAAUUUAAAUCAUUCUUUGGAACAAAAUUUCAAAUUGCUUACAAUUAAUUUUGAGUUUUUGCUCUUCUGCAAACUAAUCGUUAUUAGUUAAUAAAACGACUGCUUAUUUAAAUCACUAAAUAUGGCAAAUCUGAAGGCUGCUUAUCACAUUACUUGGCUGCUUUUGGCCCUCUUGGUGCUCGAAGUGAAAUGCAAUGAAUCAGCAGGCGACCUCCUGCCGCAUCCCUGCUACAAUGUAAAAUGCCCGCCGAUGUCCGAAAUGAACUGCCCGCCGGACAGUAGUGUGCGUGAAAUGCUCAACAGCAUCGAAGUGCAACAGAUCACCGUAGCGCCAACCGAUGCCGCCGACGCCAUGACCUACAAUACCACCGAAAUUGAUGAAGACGUCUAUGCAGAGUGCUGUCUGGCCAAAAAGUGCAUUUGCAAGACCUGCUACAUACCCGACUGUCAUGGUGAAGAUGAAGUGGUCGUCGAGCUGUUGCCCGAAUCGAUGAACAAACCCGGUCAAUGUUGCGGCGAGUAUGAGUGUCAGCGCAAACCGAAGUGCACAGCGGACGAUGAUAGUGAGCUGUAUUGGCUGAAGGGCUGUCAGCGUUGCCACUGUUUUGCGGGCAAACCUAUGUGCAUACAGAUCUGCGAUGAGGCCGUGAAUAAGACCAAAGCCAUUUGCAAGCCAGAAAAAUUGAAUGCGCUCUUUGAGCAUGGCGAAAGCUGGCGUGUCGGCUGCUAUGAAUGCGAAUGCAUCGAUGGUGUUGAAAAGUGCGUGCUGCCGUUCUGCAGCAAUGUCGAUUGUCCGCGCGAACGUCAAGUAACGUUGAAAGAUGGCUGCUGCCCCAUUUGUUGGCCCGACUGUGCGCCCAUGCCAAAGGAAUUGCUGAACGGACGCAGCAGCGUACAUGGCAAAUACGGCAAUGGUCCGCGGCAUUACGACGAUGAGGAUGAAGAAGAUGAUGACGGUCUGGCUGACGAUUUCGUUGAUGAUGCAAAUAGUGCACAGCGUAGCUUUGAUUAUGCUGGCGAAAAUGAGAAUGAUCCAUUGUCGGACAUACAGUUGGGCGAAGCAGAAGCAGUGAAGCUGCAGCAGAACACAACCACCGAAGUGCAAAGCACUACAAAUGUCGCCAGCUCUUCAACAACCGCAGCAGCAGUCAAAACGACCACCGGCCCUGCAACCCAAACGAGCUCCACUGCCGUUCCCGCCAUAUACUUGCCCACAACGCCUACCACAGCAGCGCCUUCUGAGUCGCCGGCUGUGGCGCUUGCCAGCGAACCUGCCAUAGUCACCGCUUGCCCGCCUGCUUUGGCCUCACGUCACGACGGUCCGGCCUCCUUCCAGCUAUACCCCGACGAAGACGACGUCAUGCCCGCAGUUAAAGUCGUCUCGGAAUCAUGCAAGCAUUGGAUGAUUUAUAUUGUUAUCGGCAUCUUGGUCGCCUUCAUUGCGGUGCUGAUAGCUUGGAUCAUACAAUUGCGUUUGAAGCAACGUUCCUACCGGCCGGUCUCGCACAUCGACGACAAUUUCAAUAAGAUGUCCUGUAAUAUCAAGCAAACAAAUGCUUAUGUUUAGAUGAAAGAUGAAUAUAUGUAAUGGAAAAUGGAAAUUGCGAGUGUGAGAGCCGCCAGGUCCUCGCUAGUGAAGUUUAAUGUAUGGAAAAAGUUUACGUUAGCAAUGAAGAAAAUUAUGGCCGUCUUAAGCAAACAUUUAAAAUAUUAGCAACGAUAUUAAGUCUUAAGAGUUAAGUUGAUAGAAUUAUAACCUCAUUUUUAUGCAGUUAGAAAAGGGAUCACUUCAUAGAAACUCGCUUAUGGAAGCAUUAAAUCAUAAAAAUUAACGGAGCAAUUUUUUGGAAAGUAUUUAUUGAAUAUUUUCAGUAAAGGUUGUGGGCUUAGAUACUAUCUAGCACACGAACCCAAAUAAGCUAAAUGUGGGUUGGAGAUUUAAAAAAAAGUAUUUUUGUAGUAUACUAUAUAUGCAUGUACUAUAUUUUCAGAAAAGGUUAUGGUCUUAGAUAUCUAGAACCCAAAAAAAGUUAAAGCUGGGCUUGACAGUUCUUGGUCGAAUAUAAAACUAGGUUCAUAGUUAACUGAAAUCGAUUUCAUGUAGGAAGAAACCUUAACUCCUCUGAGUAGACGGAGGAAAGGAUCGGUUAGAUAUGUGAAUAAUUUCGGAGUAUACAGCGGAGUUGACAGCCCUUGAUGAAAUAUAAAUUUGGGUAUAUGAGUUCAGAAAUAAAUUACAUCUGACACAAAACCUUAAAAUCUUUGACUUGAAAGAGGAAAAGAUCUUCUAGAUAUCUCAAACAUGAUUUCGGAGUAUAUUAAGGAGUUGACAGUCCUUGGUGGAAGAUAAAUUUAGGUAUAUGAAUCCAGAAAUAAAUCACAUGUAGCGAGAAAACUUAAAAGCUUAGAGUUAACCUUAGCUAAACACAUAAUACUACCGGAAAACGUCAAAUGCCUAGCCAUUUCAGUCAGAUUAUGUCCAUACCUGGGUACAAGUAUACUCGAAACAAAUAAAAUUAAUUUUAUACAAAUUUUCUAAAAAAAAAUGAUUCAAAAAAUUGCUCGAAACAUCGACAUUCAUACAUACUACUCAAUAAAUAUAUUCGUAAAAUUUCAAUCAUGUAUAUUUUUUCGUUCGAAAUUCCCAACAUUUUUCGCAUAUCGUAGAGAAAAGAUCUCAAUUUUUAAUUUUGAUAACAUUUUUGUUUUAUAUAAAAAAAGUUUUA